rnacentral:rRNA from 1 species
UACGGGGGGAGCAAGCGUUGUUCGGAUUUACUGGGCGUAAAGGGCGCGUAGGCGGUCAGCACAAGUCAGUUGUGAAGUCUCCGGGCUUAACUCGGAAAGGUCAACUGAUACUGUGCGACUAGAGUGCAGAAGGGGCAACUGGAAUUCUCGGUGUAGCGGUGAAAUGCGUAGAUAUCGAGAGGAACACCUGCGGCGAAGGCGGGUUGCUGGGCUGACACUGACGCUGAUGCGCGAAAGCCAGGGGAGCGAACGGG